AACGAACGCUGGCGGCAUGCCUAACACAUGCAAGUCGAACGAAGGCUUCGGCCUUAGUGGCGCACGGGUGCGUAACGCGUGGGAAUCUGCCCUUGGGUUCGGAAUAACAGCGGGAAACUGCUGCUAAUACCGGAUGAUGACGUAAGUCCAAAGAUUUAUCGCCCAAGGAUGAGCCCGCGUAGGAUUAGCUAGUUGGUGGGGUAAAGGCCCACCAAGGCGACGAUCCUUAGCUGGUCUGAGAGGAUGAUCAGCCACACUGGGACUGAGACACGGCCCAGACUCCUACGGGAGGCAGCAGUGGGGAAUAUUGGACAAUGGGCGAAAGCCUGAUCCAGCAAUGCCGCGUGAGUGAUGAAGGCCUUAGGGUUGUAAAGCUCUUUUAACCGGGAUGAUAAUGACAGUACCGGGAGAAUAAGCUCCGGCUAACUCCGUG
rnacentral:rRNA from 1 species